rnacentral:rRNA from 1 species
GCCUCGCAAGAGGAGCGGCAGACGGGUGAGUAACGCGUGGGAAUCUACCGUACCCUACGGAAUAGCUCCGGGAAACUGGAAUUAAUACCGUAUACGCCCUUUGGGGGAAAGAUUUAUCGGGGUAUGAUGAGCCCGCGUUGGAUUAGCUAGUUGGUGGGGUAAAGGCCUACCAAGGCGACGAUCCAUAGCUGGUCUGAGAGGAUGAUCAGCCACAUUGGGACUGAGACACGGCCCAAACUCCUACGGGAGGCAGCAGUGGGGAAUAUUGGACAAUGGGCGCAAGCCUGAUCCAGCCAUGCCGCGUGAGUGAUGAAGGUCUUAGGAUUGUAAAGCUCUUUCACCGAUGAAGAUAAUGACGGUAGUCGGAGAAGAAGCCCCGGCUAACUUCGUGCCAGCAGCCGCGGUAAUACGAAGGGGGCUAGCGUUGUUCGGAAUUACUGGGCGUAAAGCGCACGUAGGCGGAUAAUUAAGUCAGGGGUGAAAUCCCGCAGCUCAACUGCGGAACUGCCUUUGAUACUGGUUAUCUUGAGUAUGGAAGAGGUAAGUGGAAUUGCGAGUGUAGAGGUGAAAUUCGUAGAUAUUCGCAGGAACACCAGUGGCGAAGGCGGCUUACUGGUCCAUUAC